rnacentral:tRNA from 1 species
GCGUCGGUGAUCUAACGGCUAUGAUUGCGGCCCUCCAAGCCGCCUAUCCGGGUCCGAAUCCCGGCCGACGCA